GGGAUGUUCAUAACCCUUUGUUGUCCGACUCUGUUGCCUCCGGGGCGACCCUGCCUUCGGGCGGGGGCUCCGGGUGGACACUUCAAACUCUUGCGUAACUUUGCAGUCUGAGUAAACUUAAUUAAUAAAUUAAAACUUUUAACAACGGAUCUCUUGGUUCUGGCAUCGAUGAAGAACGCAGCGAAAUGCGAUAAGUAAUGUGAAUUGCAGAAUUCAGUGAAUCAUCGAAUCUUUGAACGCACAUUGCGCCCCCUGGUAUUCCGGGGGGCAUGCCUGUUCGAGCGUCAUUUCACCACUCAAGCCUCGCUUGGUAUUGGGCAACGCGGUCCGCCGCGUGCCUCAAAUCGACCGGCUGGGUCUUCUGUCCCCUAAGCGUUGUGGAAACUAUUCGCUAAAGGGUGUUCGGGAGGCUACGCCGUAAAACAACCCCAUUUCUAAGGUUGACCUCGGAUCAGGUAGGGAUACCCGCUGAACUUAAGCA
rnacentral:rRNA from 1 species